GCUAGCCAAGCAACACUAGCUUAUUAGCAGCCAGGAUAGUGAGGGCUAAAGUAGUCCAGAUAAUGUCAUUAUUCAAACUGACUGGUUUGGUCAAUUUCUCCACACCAACUACCUAGUCCAAGCAGGCUUUUCAAAGAUCCCUUUUGGCUUCCUUCAAGAUUUGGACUGAGAUGCUUGAACGAUUUUUCUAACCACAAAAUCUCUCAACUUAGAAAGUAUCCUAGAAUGUUAUUUUCCGCCAAUUUCAGAUGGAGUCGGCUGGAAUAUGCAAUUCCAUUAUUAAAAGAAUGUUCUUAAACUUUAAAAAAUGAAAAAACCUAUAAUACUUUCAUUAAGAUUGAUGUUGCUGUAGCUGCUCCUACCAAACCCAUGAAGAAAGGUUUGAUCUUUUUGUUUGUCCAUGCUCUUUAGUCUCGCUGAACCUUAUUAUUCUGAGUUUGAAGGAUGAAUCACGAAUUGACCUGUAUAAAAGCACAUUAUGCAAACUUUCUAAUGAGAAAACGUUGAGUUUUGAGUCUUGUUGAUUGAUGUAAUGUGAUGUUCUGGUGAGUCAAUAAUUUUAGACUAACAUUCAACACAAGUCUGUGGUGAUAAUUUUUUUGGGAGACUUCUGUGGUAAUUUCUAUAGCUGGUAGCUAAAUCUUCUCCUCUUUUGCUUAUUCGGUCUCCAAUCUUCUUUCCUUUAUUACUAAGAUCUGAAUAGCUUUUUUGUUUAAUUUUCUGUUCGAGCACUGUAUGUUCUUUUUUAUUCUCAAUUAUUUAAUUUAAUA